GAUGAACGCUGGCGGCGUGCCUAAUACAUGCAAGUCGAGCGAACAGACGAGGAGCUCGCGCCCCUGACGUUAGCGGCGGACGGGUGAGUAACACGUGGAUAACCUACUUAUAAGACUGGGAUAACUUCGGGAAACCGGAGCCAAUACCGGCGAAUACAUUGAACCGCAUGGUUCAAUAGUGAAUGACGGUUUUGCUGUCACUUAUAGAUGGAUCCGCGCCGCAUUAGCUAGUUGGUAAGGUAACGGCUUACCAAGGCAACGAUGCGUAGCCGACCUGAGAGGAUGAUCGGCCACACUGGAACUGAGACACGGUCCAGACUCCUACGGGAGGCAGCAGUGGGGAAUCUUGCGCAAAGGGCGAAAGCCUGACGGAGCAACACCGCGUGGGUGAUGAAGGUCUUCGGAUCGUAAAGCUCUGUUAUUGGGAAAGAACAGCUGUGUAUGUAACUCUGGCCGUCUUGACGGUACCUAAUCAGAAAGCCACGGCUAACUACGUG
rnacentral:rRNA from 1 species